UUAUAUUAAAUCACGACGAGCAAUAUCCGAAAGCCAAGUUGGAAAACUCGACUUCCAGAUCAUUACACCAGAAGAAGACAUGGCGAAAUUCGCCAAACAAUGUGCCGCCCUAUUAGCUUCCCUACGGGCAUGGCAAAAACGAAAAACAAUAUGCUCUUUAGCAUGCAUAAAAACCUCAAACAGCUCAUCACUAAGAGAAUCCAUCCCUCUCGAAUCCUCAUGAAC
rnacentral:lncRNA from 1 species